rnacentral:rRNA from 1 species
UCCUUGAAAUACCACCCUUUAAUGGCUGGUGUUCUAACGUGGGCCCGUGAUCCGGGUUGCGGACAGUGUCUGGUGGGUAGUUUGACUGGGGCGGUCUCCUCCUAAAGAGUAACGGAGGAGCACGAAGGUCAGCUAAUCCUGGUCGGACAUCAGGAGGUUAGUGCAAUGGCAUAAGCUGGCUUGACUGCGAGCGUGACGGCGCGAGCAGGUGCGAAAGCAGGUCAUAGUGAUCCGGUGGUUCUGAAUGGAAGGGCCAUCGCUCAACGGAUAAAAGGUACUCCGGGGAUAACAGGCUGAUACCGCCCAAGAGUUCAUAUCGACGGCGGUGUUUGGCACCUCGAUGUCGGCUCAUCACAUCCUGGGGCUGAAGUAGGUCCCAAGGGUAUGGCUGUUCGCCAUUUAAAGUGGUACGCGAGCUGGGUUUAGAACGUCGUGAGACAGUUCGGUCCCUAUCUGCCGUGGGCGCUGGAGAAUUGAGGGGGGCUGCUCCUAGUACGAGAGGACCGGAGUGGACGCAUCACUGGUGUUCGGGUUGUCAUGCCAAUGGCAUUGCCCGGUAGCUAAAUGCGGAAGAGAUAAGUGCUGAAAGCAUCUAAGCACGAAACUUGCCCCGAGAUGAGUUCUCCCUGAC